rnacentral:rRNA from 1 species
UGCAAGUCGAGCGGCAGCGCGGGGGCAACCCUGGCGGCGAGCGGCGAACGGGUGAGUAACACAUCGGAACGUACCCUGUCGUGGGGGAUAGCCCGGCGAAAGCCGGAUUAAUACCGCAUACGACCUGAGGGUGAAAGCGGGGGAUCGCAAGACCUCGCGCGAUAGGAGCGGCCGAUGGCGGAUUAGCUAGUUGGUGAGGUAAAGGCUCACCAAGGCGACGAUCCGUAGCUGGUCUGAGAGGACGACCAGCCACACUGGAACUGAGACACGGUCCAGACUCCUACGGGAGGCAGCAGUGGGGAAUUUUGGACAAUGGGGGCAACCCUGAUCCAGCCAUUCCGCGUGAGUGAAGAAGGCCUUCGGGUUGUAAAGCUCUUUCGGCAGGAACGAAACGGUGGAGGCUAAUACCUUUCAUCAAUGACGGUACCUGAAGAAGAAGCGCCGGCUAACUACGUGCCAGCAGCCGCGGUAAUACGUAGGGUGCGAGCGUUAAUCGGAAUUACUGGGCGUAAAGCGUGCGCAGGCGGUUCUAUAAGACAGAUGUGAAAUCCCCGGGCUUAACCUGGGAACUGCGUUUGUGACUGUAGGACUGGAGUGUGGCAGAGGGGGGUGGAAUUCCACGUGUAGCAGUGAAAUGCGUAGAGAUGUGGAGGAACACCGAUGGCGAAGGCAGCCCCCUGGGUUAACACUGACGCUCAUGCACGAAAGCGUGGGGAGCAAACAGGAUUAGAUACCCUGGUAGUCCACGCCCUAAACGAUGCGAACUAGGUGUUGGAGAAGGAGACUUCUUUAGUACCGU